rnacentral:rRNA from 1 species
CAGCCGCCACGGUAAUACAGAGGGUGCAAGCGUUAAUCGGAAUUACUGGGCGUAAAGCGCGCGUAGGUGGUUUGUUAAGUUGGAUGUGAAAGCCCCGGGCUCAACCUGGGAACUGCAUCCAAAACUGGCAAGCUAGAGUACGGUAGAGGGUGGUGGAAUUUCCUGUGUAGCGGUGAAAUGCGUAGAUAUAGGAAGGAACACCAGUGGCGAAGGCGACCACCUGGACUGAUACUGACACUGAGGUGCGAAAGCGUGGGGAGCAAACAGGAUUAGAGACCCCCGUAGUCCCUGUCUCUUAUAC